GACGAACCGUGCGAACGUUAUUCGGAAUCACUGGGCUUAAAGCGCGUGUAGGCUGCUUCGCAAGUCGGAUGUGAAAGCCCUGGGCUCAACCCAGGAAGUGCAUUCGAAACUGCAGAGCUGGAGUCCUGGAGAGGAAGGCGGAAUUCUCGGUGUAGAGGUGAAAUUCGUAGAUAUCGAGAGGAACACCGGUGGCGAAGGCGGCCUUCUGGACAGUGACUGACGCUGAGACGCGAAAGCGUGGGGAGCAAACAGG
rnacentral:rRNA from 1 species